UGGGGAAUCUUGCACAAUGGGGGCAACCCUGAUGCAGCGACGCCGCGUGAGCGAUGAAGCCCUUCGGGGCGUAAAGCUCUUUCGACCGGAACGAUAAUGACGGUACCGGGAGAAGAAGCUGCGGCUAACUACGUGCCAGCAGCCGCGGUAAUACGUAGGCAGCAAGCGUUACUCGGAAUUACUGGGCGUAAAGCGUGCGUAGGCGGCGAGCCAAGUUUGGUGUGAAAUCUCCCGGCUUAACCGGGAGGGUGCGCCGAAAACUGGUUGGCUGGAGUAUGGGAGAGGAAAGCGGAAUUCCUGGUGUAGCGGUGAAAUGCGUAGAUAUCAGGAGGAACACCUGCGGUGUAGACAGCUUUCUGGACCAAAACUGACGCUGAGGCACGAAAGCGUGGGUAGCAAACA
rnacentral:rRNA from 1 species